CAAGAACUCUUAUUUCUGGUUUUCCAUUGUACUAUAAAAAUGUUGUGAAUAUCACUUUUCAUUUAGAUUCAAAGAAAAGGAAGCUUCGUGAAUACUUACAUCGGAAAACAACUAUGGACUGCACUAGAUUUCCAAUCCAAAACAAUAGCACUUGAGCUGUAGCUGGAUAAAGAUGAAUGGGUAUGUUUUUGAGCAGUCGGAACUUGGAGCUGUGGGAAGUCUGUAUUAAUUUCUGCUGGCUAAGAAACUGCAGAAGAAUUAUGCCAUCUGUAAUCAGGCUGAGAGAUCUCAAUUAUCACAGUUCUACAUGACUAGGCUAAAGAUGCUAACAACCUCUACCAGAGAACAGCUUUUUCAGACUUUCACCUUCCCUGUGGAACUAUUGUACAAGAGUUCAUAAAGGUAUGUAAAAGUAAAUGUCAGAAUAGGACAAUAUCCUGAGAAGAAAAAUAU
rnacentral:lncRNA from 1 species